rnacentral:rRNA from 1 species
GGAUUAGAUACCCUGGUAGUCCACGCCGUAAACGAUGAGAACUAGCCGUUGGUCCUAUUAAAAGGAUUAGUGGCGCAGCUAACGCGAUAAGUUCUCCGCCUGGGGAGUACGGCCGCAAGGUUAAAACUCAAAUGAAUUGACGGGGGCCCGCACAAGCGGUGGAGCAUGUGGUUUAAUUCGAUGCAACGCGAAGAACCUUACCACCCCUUGACAUCCUCAGAAUUUGUCAGAGAUGACUUAGUGCCUUCGGGAACUGAGUGACAGGUGCUGCAUGGCUGUCGUCAGCUCGUGUCG